CUGGUUCUGGUUUAGGUCCAGGUCCAGGUUCUGGUUCAGGUCUGGGUUUAGGUUUGGGUUUGGGUUCAGGUUCUGGUUCUGGUUCUGGACUCCCCAUAAUGGAGCUGCACCACCUGCAACACAACGGGGUCAAGGCUCUGGGUCUGGUUCUGGUUCGGGUUCUGGUUUGGGUUUAGGUUCUGGUUCCCCCCCCAUAGGGUUUUAGUGUGGUCGGGGUCUGGUUCUGGUUCUGGUUUAGGUUCUGGUUCAGGGUCCAAUGGGGGCAGGGUCUGGUUCUGGUUCUGGUUCUGGUUCUGGUUUAGGUUCUGGUUCUGGUUCUGGUUUAGGUUCUGGUUUAUGUUCUGGUUCUGGUUUAGGUUCUGAUUCUGGUUUAGGUCCAGGUCCAGGCUCUGGUUCAGGUCUGGGUUUAGGUUUGGGUUCAGGUUCUGGUUCUGGUUCUGGACUCCCCAUAACGGAGCUGCACCACCUGCAACACAACGGGGUCAAGGCUCUGGGUCUGGUUCUGGUUCGGGUUCUGGUUU
rnacentral:lncRNA from 1 species